AACAAAUUCAUUUGUUAUCCAUUUAAUAACUAGUAAUUUAAAGAUGAACUUUUCAUGAUUAUAGCCAAUAAUCAUUUACUCCAUUUAUCUUUGGUUGACUGUUAUCUUUUGGUAUGACAACUUUGUUAGCAUUCAUGUCUAUCUAUAUCCUUUUAAACAUGCAUAUCUCAAAAAGUGUCCUUUUAUCAUUCACUGUUGGAUUCUACAUUCUCAAGCAUGCAUGUCUUAGCUUUGUCUUAG
rnacentral:misc_RNA from 1 species